rfam:Methanosarcina acetivorans str. C2A, complete genome.
UCGAGCCGGAUGAUGGGAAACUAUCAAGUCCGGUUCCUAGAAGACGGGGUAGGGAGUAAUCCCACCCUGUUAUUCGAC